GGGGGUGUAAUGGUAUCGACAUUAUACUAGAAAUAUAGAUAGCGAGUAGUGGACUCCGUUGGCCACUUAAAAAAACGGAAAAAUAAAUAUAAACGCUGAUAAUACAGAAUUAGCUUUAGCUGCUUAGUUUGCAGCUGCGCAUUACUAUUAGGCCCACACUUUUAGAUAAUGUGUCAUGAUAGUGGGAAACGAAACUAUUUUUUUCUUUAGGAAUAGAGGGUAUUUAAUAAGGGUAUAUUUAAUUUAAGCUUGUUUAUUUGCAUAAAUUAAACGAAAAUAGAAAAUAAACUGCACUCGGAGAAGUUUAUAUGGAAGGUAUUAUGGACAGGAGUUCGACUCUCCUCACCUCCACCA
rnacentral:tmRNA from 1 species